rfam:Felis catus isolate Cinnamon breed Abyssinian chromosome A2, whole genome shotgun sequence.
ACCUGGGUGGCUCAGUCGGUUGAGUGCCCGACUUUGGCUCAGGUCAUGAUCUGACAGUUCGUGGGUUCGAGCCCCACGUCAGGCU